rnacentral:rRNA from 3 species
CAAGUCGAGCGGACAGAUGGGAGCUUGCUCCCUGAUGUUAGCGGCGGACGGGUGAGUAACACGUGGGUAACCUGCCUGUAAGACUGGGAUAACUCCGGGAAACCGGGGCUAAUACCGGAUGCUUGUUUGAACCGCAUGGUUCAAACAUAAAAGGUGGCUUCGGCUACCACUUACAGAUGGACCCGCGGCGCAUUAGCUAGUUGGUGAGGUAAUGGCUCACCAAGGCAACGAUGCGUAGCCGACCUGAGAGGGUGAUCGGCCACACUGGGACUGAGACACGGCCCAGACUCCUACGGGAGGCAGCAGUAGGGAAUCUUCCGCAAUGGACGAAAGUCUGACGGAGCAACGCCGCGUGAGUGAUGAAGGUUUUCGGAUCGUAAAGCUCUGUUGUUAGGGAAGAACAAGUACCGUUCGAAUAGGGCGGUACCUUGACGGUACCUAACCAGAAAGCCACGGCUAACUACGUGCCAGCAGCCGCGGUAAUACGUAGGUGGCAAGCGUUGUCCGGAAUUAUUGGGCGUAAAGGGCUCGCAGGCGGUUUCUUAAGUCUGAUGUGAAAGCCCCCGGCUCAACCGGGGAGGGUCAUUGGAAACUGGGGAACUUGAGUGCAGAAGAGGAGAGUGGAAUUCCACGUGUAGCGGUGAAAUGCGUAGAGAUGUGGAGGAACACCAGUGGCGAAGGCGACUCUCUGGUCUGUAACUGACGCUGAGGAGCGAAAGCGUGGGGAGCGAACAGGAUUAGAUACCCUGGUAGUCCACGCCGUAAACGAUGAGUGCUAAGUGUUAGGGGGGUUUCCGCCCCUUAGUGCUGCAGCUAACGCAUUAAGCACUCCGCCUGGGGAGUACGGUCGCAAGACUGAAACUCAAAGGAAUUGACGGGGGCCCGCACAAGCGGU